UCUUGUUCAAGUUCGCAGCCUCCACGCUUUCUGUAAACGCUAAAUUUAUUUCUAGUCUGCCGGAUAGAAUCGUUCAAUGCUGAAAUGACCUAUCGACAAGAAGAAAAGAUUAACGCACCAGAAGAAGGAAGAACUUUCCAGUAAAGUGAAGAAGGUACUAGAAUCCUUCAAAUUCUUGUCAGUCCAUGCAGUGGAAAUUAAUACCAAGUGUUGAAGAAUCGAAAGGGAGAAACCCUCUGAAAAGUACAAAAGAAGUGAUCUAAUCAGUCGUGUGCAGUGGAAGUGAGGACGUUAGAGUCGAGGACCUUCUGAAGGCUCUUAGCCGC